rnacentral:rRNA from 1 species
AUUGAACGCUGGCGGCAGGCCUAACACAUGCAAGUCGAGCGGGGUUUUCGGACCUAGCGGCGGACGGGUGAGUAAUGCGUAGGAAGCUGCCCGAUAGAGGGGGAUACCAGUUGGGAACGACUGUUAAUACCGCAUAAUGUCUACGGACCAAAGUGUGGGACCUUCGGGCCACAUGCUAUCGGAUGCGCCUACGUGGGAUUAGCUAGUUGGUGAGGUAAUGGCUCACCAAGGCGACGAUCUCUAGCUGGUUUGAGAGGAUGAUCAGCCACACUGGAACUGAGACACGGUCCAGACUCCUACGGGAGGCAGCAGUGGGGAAUAUUGGCCAAUGGGCGCAAGCCUGAUCCAGCCAUGCCGCGUGUGUGAAGAAGGCCUUCGGGUUGUAAAGCACUUUCAGCGAGGAGGAAGGGGUGUGUGUUAAUAGUACACACCUUUGACGUUACUCGCAGAAGAAGCACCGGCUAACUCUGUGCCAGCCGCCGCCGUAAGAC